rnacentral:tRNA from 1 species
GGCUCUGGUGAACAUCACACUGCCUUGUCAAGGCAGAAUUGUGGGUUAAAACCCCGCGUAGCCU